rnacentral:rRNA from 1 species
GACUCUCGGCAACGGAUAUCUCGGCUCUCGCCACGAUGAAGAAUGUAGCGAAAUGCGAUACUUAGUGUGAAUUGCAGAAUCCCGUGAACCAUCGAGUCUUUGAACGCAAGUUGCGCCCGAGGCCUCGGCCGAGGGCACGUCUGCUUGGGCGUCGCACUGCAA